CAGGAAUCCAAUGGAAAAUGGCUGAUGCUAGGGCUGAAGCAGAAAGAUGGAGUCUUGCUCUGUCACCCAGGCUGGAGUUCAAUGGCAAAAUCUCACUCACUGAAACCUCUGCCUCCCCGGUUCAAGUUAUUCUCCUGCCUGAGCCUCCCUAGUAGCUGGAUUACAGGGAGAUAUGGAAAAAUGGAACAGAACAGAGGCGUCAGAAGUAAC
rnacentral:lncRNA from 1 species